UACGAAGGGGGCUAGCGUUGCUCGGAAUCACUGGGCGUAAAGGGCGCGUAGGCGGCGUUUUAAGUCGGGGGUGAAAGCCUGUGGCUCAACCACAGAAUGGCCUUCGAUACUGGGACGCUUGAGUAUGGUAGAGGUUGGUGGAACUGCGAGUGUAGAGGUGAAAUUCGUAGAUAUUCGCAAGAACACCAGUGGCGAAGGCGGCUCACUGGGCCGGUACUGACGCUGAGGUGCGAAAGCGUGGGGAGCAAACAGG
rnacentral:rRNA from 1 species